rnacentral:rRNA from 1 species
GACGAACGCUGGCGGCGUGCUUAACACAUGCAAGUCGAACGAAGUGGCGAACGGGUGAGUAACGCGUAAUCAACCUGCCCUUCAGAGGGGGACAACAGGUGGAAACGACUGCUAAUACCGCAUACUGAAGGAGGGGAUUGCGUCUGAUUAGCUAGUUGGAGGGGUAACGGCCCACCAAGGCGAAGAUCAGUAGCCGGUCGGAAGGGUUGAACGGCCAAAAUGGGAAUGGGAAACGGGCCAAACCCCUACGGGAGGCAGCAAGGGGGAAACUUCCGCAAUGGACGAAAGUCUGACGGAGCAACGCCGCGGGAGUGAUGACGGCUUUCGGGUUGUAAAGCUCUGUUAAUCGGGACGCGGUACCUGAAUAGAAAGCCACGGCUAACUACGUGCCAGCAGCCGCGGUAAUUC